ensembl:lncRNA
ACGAGCUACUCUGGCAUCUGCUCCUGCUGCCCAACUGUAUGGCAGGGCAAAAGUCCUGCUAUAGCACUUCUGGCUGCUCGAGGCAGUUCCAGGAGUUGGACUCUACAAUCUUUUUGGGUCUCUUACAACACAGCAUAUUCAAUGCUCCUAUGAUUCUAAGAACCGUGCCUGGACAGCAAGAGGGUCUGCAUAAGCCACUGAGGCAGCAAGAGGCAGAGCAUGCCUUUUCACGCUCCUACAGUCUCACUGUGAAGAAGAAUCUGAAGCAAAAUGCCUUCCAAAGAAUUGUUCAGGUGACGAAUACUGGCCAACAGCAAACACCACUGUAAUUCCUAAAAACAGCACUGCAAAUCCAAGAAUGAGCUCUACUACUAUUUGUUAAUUGCUGAGAGGAACUUGACUUCAUGUUACAAUGGCUACCCUCAAUCAAGAGUUUUAAAAGACUGUGUGCUACUAAAUGGCUGGUUUGGAAAGGAUAUUACCUGACUCAGAAAUUACAGCAGGAUGUUGGCAAGCAUUAAAUUCCCCGAGUAGGACUUCAGCAGACAAGCCAGAGUCUUUUCGACUCUCUCAGCAU